CGCCUGGUUGAUUAAAAACAUUGCUGCAUGGAUAAAUGUGCGGUAAGUACUGCCCGGUGCUCUUGUCAGGGUAAACGGCGGCGUAAAGUUUUAAAGUAGCGAAAUACCUAGUCCUUUAAUUGGGGACGUGCAUGAAUGUAUCAACGUGGGAAAGACUGUCUCUUUUGCGCAGGCUUAAAUUGAACUCCAAGUGAAGUUGCUUGGAUGCCGCCAAAAGACGAGAAGACCCCGGCAGUUUUACCUAAGGAGAAAAAGAUUUUUGUGAUGGAUUGGCUGGGGUAGCAGGAGAAUAGACAAAACUUCUUCUCUGCAGGUAUGGCGAGAGAAAAUGACGGUUUAAGUGCUAGCAGGGCUAAUCAAAGGCAAGAGUUACGCCGGGGGUAACAGGAUGGUCCUAAAAUGGAGAACAUAUCGGUUUUAGGGUGCGUUACAUCGAUGUUGAAUCAGGGGUACGCCUGGGUGCAGAAGCUGAGGUUAAAGGGUCUGUUCGACCUUUAGAGCCCUACGUGAUCUGAGUUCAAACCGG
rnacentral:rRNA from 1 species